GGGGGGCUAUGUCAUAAACCCUCACAUUUCCAGAAUAGGGCUCCAUUUACCUACAGUAGUCUGAUGGAGGUGGGGGGGCUAUGUCAUAAACCCUCACAUUUCCAGAAUAGGGCUCCAUUUACCUACAGUAGUCUGAUGGAGGUGGGGGGGCUAUGUCAUAAACCCUCACAUUUCCAGAAUAGGGCCCCAUUUACCUACAGUAGUCUGAUGGAGGUGGGGGGGGAUAUGUCAUUAACCC